rnacentral:rRNA from 1 species
UGGCGGCGUGCCUAAUACAUGCAAGUCGAGCGGACAGAAGGGAGCUUGCUCCCGGAUGUUAGCGGCGGACGGGUGAGUAACACGUGGGUAACCUGCCUGUAAGACUGGGAUAACUCCGGGAAACCGGAGCUAAUACCGGAUAGUUCCUUGAACCGCAUGGUUCAAGGAUGAAAGACGGUUUCGGCUGUCACUUACAGAUGGACCCGCGGCGCAUUAGCUAGUUGGUGAGGUAACGGCUCACCAAGGCGACGAUGCGUAGCCGACCUGAGAGGGUGAUCGGCCACACUGGGACUGAGACACGGCCCAGACUCCUACGGGAGGCAGCAGUAGGGAAUCUUCCGCAAUGGACGAAAGUCUGACGGAGCAACGCCGCGUGAGUGAUGAAGGUUUUCGGAUCGUAAAGCUCUGUUGUUAGGGAAGAACAAGUGCAAGAGUAACUGCUUGCACCUUGACGGUACCUAACCAGAAAGCCACGGCUAACUACGUGCCAGCAGCCGCGGUAAUACGUA